GCAAACUUGGUCAUUUAGAGGAAGUAAAAGUCGUAACAAGGUCUCCGUUGGUGAACCAGCGGAGGGAUCAUUACCGAGUGCUCGCGCUCAAACCCCCCCGCGGACACGAGUCCCUUGCCUCGGCGGGAGCCCCCCCGGGGGCGCCCGCCGGGGGCCCGCCGUCGCAGGCUCUCAGCGGCCGACCGCCGCGCCCCGUCCUCUGAAUUAGCUUCCGAAACGAGUCAAAACUCUCAGCAACGGAUCUCUUGGUUCCGGCAUCGAUGAAGAACGCAGC
rnacentral:misc_RNA from 1 species